AAAAGCUGGGUUGACAGGGUAA
rnacentral:miRNA from 1 species